AGCUCAGCUCAGACGGCGCCCUAGGGCCGCACAGAGGGUCGGGCAGUGCCGGAGAGAGGUUUGAAAGCGCCGCCGCCAACUCGACAGCGCGUCCCAGGAAAAACUGAGGAAACGCGCCUGGUUCCAGGGGUCGGCGGGGACCGUGGAGACGCUGCCAGCAUCCUCAACAGCUUGGAAAUCCCAUCACCUUGGUUCCCUGAGACUUGGAGGACUAGUAGGAACUGACAGCUGGCUGACAGAAAACUUAUCCAGGGAGAGAAGAGACAAAAGUGAAGUGUGAAAUUUUGAAUAAUGUUUUCAGGCACGGCCGUCGCCAGCAUAGUACCGGCUCCUCUUCUUCUCCCAGAACCUCCUGACACCAACCUUGGUGAAAGAAAAGCUGUGACAAUGCUUUGCAUUCAGAAUAGACCUCUGAGUUGGGACCCAAGCUGUCAACUGAUCCCAAAUUCCUAAGUUCCUGACUUGCAGGUAUUGAGUUCUAACCUCCGAAGAUGGAUGAAGGUAUGGAAAUUUCAAGUGAAGGAAAUUCCUUGAUCAAAGCA
rnacentral:lncRNA from 1 species